AAUGAACGCUGGCGGCGUGCCUAACACAUGCAAGUCGGAUGUGCCCGCAAGGGUGCAUGGCAGACGGGUGAGUAACGCGUGGGGAAUCUACCUUUUAGUGGGGAAUAACGCUCCGAAAGGAGUGGUAAUACCGCAUGUGACCAUCGGCUGGGAUGCUGAUGGUGAAACCCUGGGACCUUCGGGCCAGGGGCUAGAAGAGGAUCCUGCGUCUGAUUAGCUAGUUGGCGGGGUAACGGCCCACCAAGGCGACGAUCAGUAGCCGGCCUGGGAGGGUGAUCGGCCACACUGGAACUGAGACACGGUCCAGACUCCUACGGGAGGCAGCAGUGGGGAAUUUUGCGCAAUGGACGAAAGUCUGACGCAGCAACGCCGCGUGGGUGAUGAAGGUCUUCGGAUUGUAAAACCCUGUCGCCA
rnacentral:rRNA from 1 species